UACGUAGGGCGCAAGCGUUGUCCGGAAUUAUUGGGCGUAAAGAGCUCGUAGGCGGCCUGUUGCGUCCGCUGUGAAAUCCCGGGGCUCAACCCCGGGCCUGCAGUGGAUACGGGCUGGCUAGAGGCAGGCAGGGGAGAACGGAAUUCCUGGUGUAGCGGUGAAAUGCGCAGAUAUCAGGAGGAACACCGGUGGCGAAGGCGGUUCUCUGGGCCUGUACUGACGCUGAGGAGCGAAAGCGUGGGGA
rnacentral:rRNA from 1 species